UAGGGAAUUUUCGUUCAAUGGGCGCAAGCCUGAACGAGCAAUGCCGCGUGAACGAGGAAGGUCUUCGGAUCGUAAAGUUCUGUUGAGAGGGAAAAAUGGUCACCAGAGGAAAUGCUGGUGAAGUGAUAUUACCUUUCGAGGAAGUCACGGCUAACUACGUGCC
rnacentral:rRNA from 1 species